UAGGGAAUCUUCCACAAUGGGCGCAAGCCUGAUGGAGCAACGCCGCGUGAGUGAAGAAGGUCUUCGGAUCGUAAAACUCUGUUGUUAGAGGAGAACAUGCAGGAGAGUAACUGUUCUUGUAUUGACGGUAUCUAACCAGAAAGCCACGGCUAACUACGUGCCAG
rnacentral:rRNA from 1 species